AACGAACGCUGGCGGCAGGCUUAACACAUGCAAGUCGAGCGCCCCGCAAGGGGAGCGGCAGACGGGUGAGUAACACGUGGGAACGUACCUUUUGCUACGGAAUAGCUCCGGGAAACUGGAAUUAAUACCGUAUGUGCCCUUCGGGGGAAAGAUUUAUCGGCAAAAGAUCGGCCCGCGUCUGAUUAGCUAGUUGGUGGGGUAAUGGCCUACCAAGGCGACGAUCAGUAGCUGGUCUGAGAGGAUGAUCAGCCACACUGGGACUGAGACACGGCCCACACUCCUACGGGAGGCAGCAGUGGAGAAUAUUGGACAAUGGGGGCAACCCUGAUCCAGCCAUGCCGCGUGAGUGAUGAAGGCCUUAGGGUUGUAAAGCUCUUUCGUCAGGGAAGAUAAUGACGGUACCUGAAGAAGAAGCCCCGGCUAACUUCGUGCCAGCCGCCGCCGUAA
rnacentral:rRNA from 1 species